GUUCUACCUUGACGAAUUGUAGUUUAAAGAAGUGUUUUCUGUUAGAUGAGUAGCAAAAGUUCCUUGGAAUGGGACAUCAUAGAGGGUGAGAAUCCCGUAUUUGGUUAUUCAUUCUAGCUUUGUGAUACACUUUCAAAGAGUCGGAUUGUUUGGGAAUGCAGUCCAAAAUGGGUGGUAAAUUUCAUCUAAAGCUAAAUAUUGGCGAGAGACCGAUAGCGAACAAGUACCGUGAGGGAAAGAUGAAAAGAACUUUGAAAAGAGAGUUAAACAGUACGUGAAAUUGUCAAAAGGGAAGCGUUUGACACCAGUGUUGCUUUUCCGAAAAUCAAUUACGAAUGGCUUGAUUUUGUGUUGUAUUGACCUUAUCAGCUUUCUUCACUUUUUUCGAGUCUUUCUU
rnacentral:rRNA from 1 species